rnacentral:rRNA from 1 species
GAUGAACGCUGGCGGCGUGCCUAAUACAUGCAAGUCGAGCGAAUGGAUUAAGAGCUUGCUCUUAUGAAGUUAGCGGCGGACGAGUGAGUAACACGUGGGUAACCUGCCCAUAAGACUGGGAUAACUCCGGGAAACCGGGGCUAAUACCGGAUAACAUUUUGAACCGCAUGGUUCGAAAUUGAAAGGCGGCUUCGGCUGUCACUUAUGGAUGGACCCGCGUCGCAUUAGCUAGUUGGUGAGGUAACGGCUCACCAAGGCAACGAUGCGUAGCCGACCUGAGAAGGUGAUCGGCCACACUGGGACUGAGACACGGCCCAGACUCCUACGGGAGGCAGCAGUAGGGAAUCUUCCGCAAUGGACGAAAGUCUGACGGAGCAACGCCACGUGAGUGAUGAAGGCUUUCGGGUCGUAAAACUCUGUUGUUAGGGAAGAACAAGUGCUAGUUGAAUAAGCUGGCACCUUGACGGUACCUAACCAGAAAGCCACGGCUAACUACGUGCCAGCCGCCGCGGUAA